GGGUUGUGAGGUUAAGCGACUAAGCGUACACGGUGGAUGCCCUGGCAGUCAGAGGCGAUGAAGGACGUGCUAAUCUGCGAAAAGCGUCGGUAAGGUGAUAUGAACCGUUACAGCCGGCGAUGUCCGAAUGGGGAAACCCAGUGCAAUUCGUUGCACUAUCGUUAACUGAAUACAUAGGUUAACGAGGCGAACCGGGGGAACUGAAACAUCUAAGUACCCCGAGGAAAAGAAAUCAACCGAGAUUCCCCCAGUAGCGGCGAGCGAACGGGGAGCAGCCCGGAGUCUGAAUCAGCUUGUGUGUUAGUGGAAGCGUCUGGAAAGUCGCAGGGUACAGGGUGAUACUCCCGUACACUAAAACACACAGGUUGUGAACUCGAAGAGUAGGGCGGGACACGUGGUAUCCUGUCUGAAUAUGGGGGGACCAUCCUCCAAGGCUAAAUACUCCUGACUGACCGAUAGUGAACCAGUACCGUGAGGGAAAGGCGAAAAGAACCCCGGCGAGGGGAGUGAAAAAGAACCUGAAACCGUGUACGUACAAGCAGUAGGAGCCCACUAGUUGGGUGACUGCGUACCUUUUGUAUAAUGGGUCAGCGACUUAUAUUCUGUAGCAAGGUUAACCGUAUAGGGGAGCCGCAGGGAAACCGAGUCUUAACUGGGCGUUAAGUUGCAGGGUAUAGACCCGAAACCCGGUGAUCUAGCCAUGGGCAGGUUGAAGGUUGGGUAACACUAACUGGAGGACCGAACCGACUAAUGUUGAAAAAUUAGCGGAUGACUUGUGGCUGGGGGUGAAAGGCCAAUCAAACCGGGAGAUAGCUGGUUCUCCCCGAAAGCUAUUUAGGUAGCGCCUCGUGAACUCAUCUUCGGGGGUAGAGCACUGUUUCGGCUAGGGGGUCAUCCCGACUUACCAACCCGAUGCAAACUACGAAUACCGAAGAAUGUUAUCACGGGAGACACACGGCGGGUGCUAACGUCCGUCGUGAAGAGGGAAACAACCCAGACCGCCAGCUAAGGUCCCAAAGUCAUGGUUAAGUGGGAAACGAUGUGGGAAGGCCCAGACAGCCAGGAUGUUGGCUUAGAAGCAGCCAUCAUUUAAAGAAAGCGUAAUAGCUCACUGGUCGAGUCGGCCUGCGCGGAAGAUGUAACGGGGCUAAACCAUGCACCGAAGCUGCGGCAGCGACACUAUGUGUUGUUGGGUAGGGGAGCGUUCUGUAAGCCGUUGAAGGUGGCCUGUGAGGGUUGCUGGAGGUAUCAGAAGUGCGAAUGCUGACAUAAGUAACGAUAAUGCGGGUGAAAAACCCGCACGCCGGAAGACCAAGGGUUCCUGUCCAACGUUAAUCGGGGCAGGGUGAGUCGACCCCUAAGGCGAGGCCGAAAGGCGUAGUCGAUGGGAAACAGGUUAAUAUUCCUGUACUCGGUGUUACUGCGAAGGGGGGACGGAGAAGGCUAUGUUGGCCGGGCGACGGUUGUCCCGGUUUAAGCAUGUAGGCGGAUGUUCCAGGUAAAUCCGGAACGUCACUAACGCUGAGGUGUGAUGACGAGGCACUACGGUGCUGAAGUGACAAAUGCCCUGCUUCCAGGAAAAGCCUCUAAGCAUCAGGUAACAUCAAAUCGUACCCCAAACCGACACAGGUGGUCAGGUAGAGAAUACCAAGGCGCUUGAGAGAACUCGGGUGAAGGAACUAGGCAAAAUGGUGCCGUAACUUCGGGAGAAGGCACGCUGAUGGUAGGUGAAGCGACUUGCUCGUGGAGCUGAAAUCAGUCGAAGAUACCAGCUGGCUGCAACUGUUUAUUAAAAACACAGCACUGUGCAAACACGAAAGUGGACGUAUACGGUGUGACGCCUGCCCGGUGCCGGAAGGUUAAUUGAUGGGGUUAUCCGUAAGGAGAAGCUCUUGAUCGAAGCCCCGGUAAACGGCGGCCGUAACUAUAACGGUCCUAAGGUAGCGAAAUUCCUUGUCGGGUAAGUUCCGACCUGCACGAAUGGCGUAAUGAUGGCCAGGCUGUCUCCACCCGAGACUCAGUGAAAUUGAACUCGCUGUGAAGAUGCAGUGUACCCGCGGCAAGACGGAAAGACCCCGUGAACCUUUACUAUAGCUUGACACUGAACACUGGUCCUUGAUGUGUAGGAUAGGUGGGAGGCUUUGAAGUGUGGACGCCAGUCUGCAUGGAGCCAUCCUUGAAAUACCACCCUUUAAUGGCUGGUGUUCUAACGUGGGCCCCUGAUCGGGGUUGCGGACAGUGUCUGGUGGGUAGUUUGACUGGGGCGGUCUCCUCCUAAAGAGUAACGGAGGAGCACGAAGGUCAGCUAAUCCUGGUCGGACAUCAGGAGGUUAGUGCAAUGGCAUAAGCUGGCUUGACUGCGAGCGUGACGGCGCGAGCAGGUGCGAAAGCAGGUCAUAGUGAUCCGGUGGUUCUGAAUGGAAGGGCCAUCGCUCAACGGAUAAAAGGUACUCCGGGGAUAACAGGCUGAUACCGCCCAAGAGUUCAUAUCGACGGCGGUGUUUGGCACCUCGAUGUCGGCUCAUCACAUCCUGGGGCUGAAGUAGGUCCCAAGGGUAUGGCUGUUCGCCAUUUAAAGUGGUACGCGAGCUGGGUUUAGAACGUCGUGAGACAGUUCGGUCCCUAUCUGCCGUGGGCGCUGGAGAAUUGAGGGGGGCUGCUCCUAGUACGAGAGGACCGGAGUGGACGCAUCACUGGUGUUCGGGUUGUCAUGCCAAUGGCAUUGCCCGGUAGCUAAAUGCGGAAGAGAUAAGUGCUGAAAGCAUCUAAGCACGAAACUUGCCCCGAGAUGAGUUCUCCCUGACCCUUUAAGGGUCCUGAAGGAACGUUGAAGACGACGACGUUGAUAGGCCGGGUGUGUAAGCGCAGCGAUGCGUUGAGCUAACCGGUACUAAUGAACCGUGAGGCUUAACCUUACAACGCCGAAG
rnacentral:rRNA from 1 species